rnacentral:rRNA from 1 species
CCUACGGGAGGCAGCAGUGGGGAAUCUUGCGCAAUGGGCGAAAGCCUGACGCAGCCAUGCCGCGUGAAUGAUGAAGGUCUUAGGAUUGUAAAAUUCUUUCACCGGGGACGAUAAUGACGGUACCCGGAGAAGAAGCCCCGGCUAACUUCGUGCCAGCAGCCGCGGUAAUACGAAGGGGGCUAGCGUUGCUCGGGAUUACUGGGCGUAAAGGGAGCGUAGGCGGAUAGUUUAGUCAGAGGUGAAAGCCCAGGGCUCAACCUUGGAAUUGCCUUUGAUACUGGCUAUCUUGAGUACGGAAGAGGUAUGUGGAACUCCGAGUGUAGAGGUGAAAUUCGUAGAUAUUCGGAAGAACACCAGUGGCGAAGGCGACAUACUGGUCCGUUACUGACGCUGAGGCUCGAAAGCGUGGGGAGCAAACAGGAUUAGAUACCCUGGUAGUCCACGCUGUAAACGAUGAGUGCUAGUUGUCGGCAUGCAUGCAUGUCGGUGGACGCAGCUAACGACAUAAGUACACUCCGCCGUCGGGGAGGUACGGUCGGCGAAGAAGUUAAAACUUAAAAGUUAAGUUAAAGUUAGUACGGCGUUGAGACGUUGCCGACGGACGACGACGAGGGGAGGAGG